GUAACACUCAAAACAUGGCGGCACUCCCCUUUGGAGAACAGAAAGUGCCCCCACAGUUUGAGUGCCAC
rfam:Camelus ferus unplaced genomic scaffold scaffold399, whole genome shotgun sequence.